GAUGAAGAACGUAGCGAAAUGCGAUAAGUAAUGUGAAUUGCAGAAUUCAGUGAAUCAUCGAAUCUUUGAACGCACAUUGCGCCCGCCAGUAUUCUGGCGGGCAUGCCUGUUCGAGCGUCAUUUCAACCAUCAAGCCCCCGGGCUUGUGUUGGGGACCUGCGGCUGCCGCAGGCCCUGAAAAGCAGUGGCGGGCUCGCUGUCACACCGAGCGUAGUAGAUUUUAUCUCGCUCUGGGCGUGCUGCGGGUUCCGGCCGUUAAACCACCCUUUUAACCCAGGGUUGACCUCGGAUCAGGUAGGAAGACCCGCUGAACUUAAGCAUAUCAAUAAGCGGAGGA
rnacentral:misc_RNA from 1 species